rnacentral:rRNA from 1 species
ACUGUGGAGAUGGCUGUGCCUCUUUUGGGGUCGGUUCACAGGUGGUGCAUGGGUGUCGUCAGCUCGUGUCGUGAGAUGUUGGGUUAAGUCCCGCAACGAGCGCCCCCUUGUUCACUGUUGCCAGCACGUUGUGGGGGGGACUCAGUGGAGACCGCCGGGGUCAACUCAGAAGAAGGGGGGGAUGACGUCAACUCAUCGUGCCCCUUAUGUCGGGGUCUUCACGCGUGCUACAAUGGGUGGUACAGAGAGGGGCGACCCUGUGAGGGUGAGCAAAUCUCAAAAAGCCGGUCUCAUUUCAGAUUGGGGUCUGCAACUCCACCUCAUGAAGGCAGAGUCGCUAGUAAUCGCAUAUCAACAACGCUGCGGAGAAUACUUUCCCGGGCUUGGACCCCAGAGAA